rnacentral:lncRNA from 1 species
AUUUAUAACUCUGAAAUAAACUCUGAAGUGACACACCCUUUGGAAUAGUGCCUGUUCAAAACAUAACUGCUAGUGCAGUUAUUUUGUGCAAAAACGGAUAUAAACUGCCAAUAUAAAUUUCAUUUUACACGUGCCAAGUGCCAAGUGCCAAUCUUUGAUAAUAUAAUAUUGGCUUUCCCUCCACAACUUCCCACCAAAAAGUUAUUUUAGCAUGUGUAGGAUAUGAAUGCUUAUUAAGCUAUCUAAAAAACUCUACCUAAGCAAUGUGGGACUAAAACCCCUCUCAACAUUAUAAACUAUUAAAGGAAGGAGACUUCCAAUACCGACUCUUGGUUCUAGCCACUUUUCUCAGUAGCGGAUAACUAGAGAGAAACGCUGCCAGUAUUCACUCCAUGCCAGUAUUU